CAGUACACUCAUCCAUAAAGUAGGAAACACUACACUGUGGCGAGGGGUUUAGUAGUGCUUUCUACUUUAUGGAUGACUGCACUGU
rfam:Astyanax mexicanus Tnplaced_Scaffold_2516, whole genome shotgun sequence.